AUGGGGGGACCAUCCUCCAAGGCUAAAUACUCCUGACUGACCGAUAGUGAACCAGUACCGUGAGGGAAAGGCGAAAAGAACCCCGGCGAGGGGAGUGAAAAAGAACCUGAAACCGUGUACGUACAAGCAGUGGGAGCCUCUUUAUGGGGUGACUGCGUACCUUUUGUAUAAUGGGUCAGCGACUUAUAUUCUGUAGCAAGGUUAACCGAAUAGGGGAGCCGAAGGGAAACCGAGUCUUAACUGGGCGUUAAGUUGCAGGGUAUAGACCCGAAACCCGGUGAUCUAGCCAUGGGCAGGUUGAAGGUUGGGUAACACUAACUGGAGGACCGAACCGACUAAUGUUGAAAAAUUAGCGGAUGACUUGUGGCUGGGGGUGAAAGGCCAAUCAAACCGGGAGAUAGCUGGUUCUCCCCGAAAGCUAUUUAGGUAGCGCCUCGUGAAUUCAUCUCCGGGGGUAGAGCACUGUUUCGGCAAGGGGGUCAUCCCGACUUACCAACCCGAUGCAAACUGCGAAUACCGGAGAAUGUUAUCACGGGAGACACACGGCGGGUGCUAACGUCCGUCGUGAAGAGGGAAACAACCCAGACCGCCAGCUAAGGUCCCAAAGUCAUGGUUAAGUGGGAAACGAUGUGGGAAGGCCCAGACAGCCAGGAUGUUGGCUUAGAAGCAGCCAUCAUUUAAAGAAAGCGUAAUAGCUCACUGGUCGAGUCGGCCUGCGCGGAAGAUGUAACGGGGCUAAACCAUG
rnacentral:rRNA from 1 species